CCRKUYCCCCNNCRUGUAAAACGACGGCCAGUGAAUUCGAGCUCGGUACCUCGCGAAUGCAUCUAGAUUCCUACGGGAGGCAGCAGUAGGGAAUCUUCCGCAAUGGACGAAAGUCUGACGGAGCAACGCCGCGUGAGUGAUGAAGGUUUUCGGAUCGUAAAACUCUGUUGUUAGGGAAGAACAAGUGCCAUAGUAACUGAUGGCACCUUGACGGUACCUAACCAGAAAGCCACGGCUAACUACGUGCCAGCAGCCGCGGUAAUACGUAGGUGGCAAGCGUUGUCCGGAAUUAUUGGGCGUAAAGCGCUCGCAGGCGGUUCUUUAAGUCUGAUGUGAAAUCUUACGGCUCAACCGUAAACGUGCAUUGGAAACUGGGGAACUUGAGUGCAGAAGAGGAGAGUGGAAUUCCACGUGUAGCGGUGAAAUGCGUAGAGAUGUGGAGGAACACCAGUGGCGAAGGCGACUCUCUGGUCUGUAACUGACGCUGAGGAGCGAAAGCGUGGGGAGCGAACAGGAUUAGAUACCCUGGUAGUCCACGCCGUAAACGAUGAGUGCUAGGUGUUAGGGGGUUUCCGCCCCUUAGUGCUGAAGUUAACGCAUUAAGCACUCCGCCUGGGAGUACGCCG
rnacentral:rRNA from 1 species